CCUACGGGUGGCAGCAGUGAGGAAUAUUGGUCAAUGGGCGAGAGCCUGAACCAGCCAAGUCGCGUGAAGGAUGACGGCCCUACGGGUUGUAAACUUCUUUUGUCAGGGAGCAAUUUGGGCCACGCGUGGGCUUAGCGAGAGGACCUGAGGAAAAAGCAUCGGCUACCUCCGUGCCAGCAGCCGCGGUAAUACGGUGGAUGGGAGCGUUCUCCGGAUUGAUUGGGUUUAAGGGGUGCGUAGGCGGAAUAUCAAGUCAGCGGUAAAAAUUCGGGGCUCACCCCCGUCGUGCCGUUGAAACUGAUGUUCUUGAGUGGGCGAGAAGUAUGCGGAAUGCGUGGUGUAGCGGUUAAAUGCAUAGAUAUCACGCAGAACUCCGAUUGCGAAGGCAGCAUACCGGCGCCCAACUGACGCUGACGCACGAAAGCGUGGGUAUCGAACAGGAUUAGAUACCCUGGUAGUC
rnacentral:rRNA from 1 species